AUACGGAGGAUGCAAGCGUUAUCCGGAUUUAUUGGGUUUAAAGGGUGCGUAGGCGGUUUGCUAAGCGGGAGGUGAAAUGCCGGCGCUCAACGUCGGAAGUGCCUCCCGAACUGGUGGACUGGAAUGACUCUGCCGUGGGAGGAAUGUGUAGUGUAGCGGUGAAAUGCUUAGAGGUUACACAGAACACCGAUUGCGAAGGCAUCUCACGAAGGGUUGAUUGACGCUGAGGCACGAAAGCGUGGGGAUCAAACAGGAUUAGAUACCCUGGUAGUCCACGCAGUAAACGAUGAUGGCUAACCGCUGGUUUAUUCGGAUCAGUGGCCAAGCGAAAGCGAUAAGCCAUCCACCUGGGGAGUACGACCGCAAGGUUGAAACUCAAAGGAAUUGACGGGG
rnacentral:rRNA from 1 species